rnacentral:rRNA from 1 species
GAUAAACGCUGGCGGCGUGCCUAAUACAUGCAAGUCGAGCGAACGGACGAGAAGCUUGCUUCUCUGAUGUUAGCGGCGGACGGGUGAGUAACACGUGGAUAACCUACCUAUAAGACUGGGAUAACUUCGGGAAACCGGAGCUAAUACCGGAUAAUAUUUUGAACCGCAUGGUUCAAAAGUGAAAGACGGUCUUGCUGUCACUUAUAGAUGGAUCCGCGCUGCAUUAGCUAGUUGGUAAGGUAACGGCUUACCAAGGCAACGAUGCAUAGCCGACCUGAGAGGGUGAUCGGCCACACUGGAACUGAGACACGGUCCAGACUCCUACGGGAGGCAGCAGUAGGGAAUCUUCCGCAAUGGGCGAAAGCCUGACGGAGCAACGCCGCGUGAGUGAUGAAGGUCUUCGGAUCGUAAAACUCUGUUAUUAGGGAAGAACAUAUGUGUAAGUAACUGUGCACAUCUUGACGGUACCUAAUCAGAAAGCCACGGCUAACUACGUGCCAGCAGCCGCGGNUAUACGUANGUGGGCAGCGUUAUCCGGAANUUAUGNNGCGUAAGCGCGCGUAGGCGGUUUUUUAGUCUGAUGUGAAAGCCCACGGCUCAACCGUGGAGGGUCAUUGGAAACUGGAAAACUUGAGUGCAGAAGAGGAAAGUGGAAUUCCAUGUGUAGCGGUGAAAUGCGCAGAGAUAUGGAGGAACACCAGUGGCGAAGGCGACUUUCUGGUCUGUAACUGACGCUGAUGUGCGAAAGCGUGGGGAUCAAACAGGAUUAGAUACCCUGGUAGUCCACGCCGUAAACGAUGAGUGCUAAGUGUUAGGGGGUUUCCGCCCCUUAGUGCUGCAGCUAACGCAUUAAGCACUCCGCCUGGGGAGUACGACCGCAAGGUUGAAACUCAAAGGAAUUGACGGGGACCCGCACAAGCGGUGGAGCAUGUGGUUUAAUUCGAAGCAACGCGAAGAACCUUACCAAAUCUUGACAUCCUUUGACAACUCUAGAGAUAGAGCCUUCCCCUUCGGGGGACAAAGUGACAGGUGGUGCAUGGUUGUCGUCAGCUCGUGUCGUGAGAUGUUGGGUUAAGUCCCGCAACGAGCGCAACCCUUAAGCUUAGUUGCCAUCAUUAAGUUGGGCACUCUAAGUUGACUGCCGGUGACAAACCGGAGGAAGGUGGGGAUGACGUCAAAUCAUCAUGCCCCUUAUGAUUUGGGCUACACACGUGCUACAAUGGACAAUACAAAGGGCAGCGAAACCGCGAGGUCAAGCAAAUCCCAUAAAGUUGUUCUCAGUUCGGAUUGUAGUCUGCAACUCGACUACAUGAAGCUGGAAUCGCUAGUAAUCGUAGAUCAGCAUGCUACGGUGAAUACGUUCCCGGGUCU